CACGUAGUUAGCCGGGGCUUCUUAGUCAGGUACCGUCAUUCUCUUCCCUGCUGAUAGAGCUCUACAUACCGAAAUACUUCUUCACUCACGCGGCGUUGCUGCAUCAGGGUUUCCCCCAUUGUGCAAUAUUCCCCACUGCUGCCUCCCGUAGGAGUUUGGGCCGUGUCUCAGUCCCAAUGUGGCCGGCCACCCUCUCAGGUCGGCUACUGAUCGUCGCCUUGGUGGGCCGUUACCUCACCAACCAGCUAAUCAGACGCGGGUCCAUCUCAUACCACCGGAGUUUUUCACACCAGACCAUGCGGUCCUGUGCGCUUAUGCGGUAUUAGCAGUCAUUUCUAACUGUUAUCCCCCUGUAUGAGGCAGGUUACCCACGCGUUACUCACCCGUCCGCCGCUCAGUCAUACACGCUUCCAUCCGAAAAACUUCCACAUCUAUGCUUCGCUCGACUUGCAUGUGUUAAGCACGCCGCCAGCGUUCAUCCUGAGCAA
rnacentral:rRNA from 1 species